rnacentral:rRNA from 1 species
UACACUCCUACGGGAGGCAGCAGUGGGGAAUUUUGGACAAUGGGCGAAAGCCUGAUCCAGCAAUGCCGCGUGAGUGAAGAAGGCCUUCGGGUUGUAAAGCUCUUUUGUCAGGGAAGAAACGGUGAAAGCUAAUAUCUUUUGCUAAUGACGGUACCUGAAGAAUAAGCACCGGCUAACUACGUGCCAGCAGCUGCGGUAAUACGUAGGGUGCAAGCGUUAAUCGGAAUUACUGGGCGUAAAGCGUGCGCAGGCGGUUUUGUAAGUCUGAUGUGAAAUCCCCGGGCUCAACCUGGGAAUUGCAUUGGAGACUGCAAGGCUAGAAUCUGGCAGAGGGGGGUAGAAUUCCACGUGUAGCAGUGAAAUGCGUAGAUAUGUGGAGGAACACCGAUGGCGAAGGCAGCCCCCUGGGUCAAGAUUGACGCUCAUGCACGAAAGCGUGGGGAGCAAACAGGAUUAGAUACCCCAGUAGUCCCAUG